AGCCUCCUUCCCGUCUGCAGUUUAUUAAAAGUAACCAGCCCGAAAUAAUCCACAUGCCAAAGAGACAUAUCUUGGGGUGGCCAAUUCCAGGCCCCCACAGGGGACAAGGGCCACUGGGGCAGGACUUGUGAGGAAACAAGCAGAGCUGUGAGGUCAAGAUGUCAAGUCACAGCUUCACCCUCAUGAAGGUGCCAGUCCAGGGCCCCCCACCUCCUCCCACACCACUGCCCACGUGACCACACCCUCACCCGGCCAGGCUUCUGAAAAUGGAAAAGUGUGGGUGGAAAGCCAGCCGAGGGGUCAGCCACCUCUAUACUUGGGCUUGAGUGUGUGAGAACCCCCAACAUGCCUCCCUCCAGCCCUCUGCCCACCCAGGGGAGAGGCGCCUGAGAUGGAGGCUGGCACUGGAGGCCACCCUGCAGUCUUGCUCCUCCAGCUCUGUCCUCGUCCAAGCCACAUCUCCUGAUUUAUGGUCUACUUUUUGUCCUCUUGACCACUGGCCAGGCCCUGGGGGUCCAGGAGGGAGUCAGGCGGGAAAGUCACAUUCCAGUAGGGGAGGAUAGUCAAGCAACUCAACAGGCUAUUCUAGCUCGUCCUGGUAACUAGGAAAGAGUCAAAUAAGGGAUAGGGAGACAUGGGAGGGGAGAGGGCUGCAACUGUCGGUAGGGGGCAGGGGGCUACAAACAGCCCCUCAGAGGUGACAUUUGAGUAGAAACAUCAGAAUGCAAAGGACUCAACUAUGAUGAGUCCUAGGGGGAGAGCAUUCCAGGCAGAGGAACCAGCAAACAGAACAGCAAACAGGCAUGUGGCAGAGAGGCACGGAGGGGCUGGGCCUGCGUCCUGAUGUGGCAGGAAUCACUGGAACGUUUAAAGCACAGUUAUAUUUUUAAAGUCACUUGCGGCUGUGGGGAAAAUGACUUGUGUGGAGGCAGGAGUGGAAGCCUGGUUAGGCUGGAGGCGGUGGCUUUGGGUUAGGUGAGAACAACGAGGCUGCUUGGCCUGGGCUGGGUGCAGAUGGGGUGGCAAGGAGCCACUGGACUGGGGAGCCUCGCUGCCAACUGGAGGAGGAACACAGCAAAGAGGGCCAGGGGAUGCCUUGCUGCCUGUCUGAGGGAUGUCAAGAAUGCUGGGGACCUCAAACGAGGGUCAGGACUGGGGAGGUGACACCCAGUUUCUGAACUUUAGCUCCAGCCUGACUUUUAUGCAUCCAACAAGGAGUCAUCAGGGAUGUCGGUGUGCCCGGGCAGCUCAGGAAAGGCCCUGCCAUGGGGUCUCCAUACCCCGUAAGGGAGACAGACAACAUGCAAGGAUUGCGUGGUGGGCGGCAGUGAGGGCCCCAGAGAAGGAAGCAGCGGGGCAGGAGGGCUGCUGUUUCAACAGGAUGGUCCUGGGAACGUGGAGUGAGCACCCUCCACUGGUCUCUCUGCUUGAUCACAACUGUAAACCCUGGACAGACUCUCAGAGAACUGUGAAAACCUGGACAUGAAGGCAGCUUGAAACCUGGAAGUGCAACCAGAGUGGACACAGGGCUCCAGAGGAUCCUUCUGGUCCAAGGAGCAGAAAUGAAGCCCUUACAGGUGGGGCGCAGGGGGCGGGGGAAUCCCCUGAUUUGUUCCCAUCGUCCCCACCCCAGCUCCUGGGCAAUAUUGUGGAGAUGGCAUGGUGAUGGCAGCGUCAGCUGGGCAGGCAGCUGAAACCCUGAGAGGGGAGCUACCCUCUAACCAGGGGAGCUGAGGCCACAAGAGUGUUUGGCAACUACCCGCUGCUUUCUCUCUGCCCUCCUGAAGCUGAGGCCUGGAUGCAGCUGCAGGAGCUGUGCAGCAGGAUGCGGAAACGAAGGCCCUGGGUUUGUGGCCAGAGGUCUUGGAAAGCAGGCCCCAGGGAUCCAGUAAAGUUACAGAUGAAUUCCUGGGUUCCCUGCCAAGCUGCCCAAGUGGGAUCUGACCCUAGAUGCACACCACAGGCCUCAGGCUGACCACUGGGUGGUGCAGACAGACCCAGGACAGAUCUGACUGGUAGUCAAACACGUUAUACAUUGAGCUGGAAUCACAGCCCACAGAAGACAGGUGACCUGAUUGCCUGGCAAAACAGCACAAUCAACAUUCUCCUUAGGAGUUAAAUAGGAUCCAGACUCUCAACAUAAUUCAAAAUAUCUAGGACACUUUUGCGUGUGGCUGUCCAGUUUUCCCAAUAAAAUUUAUUAAAAGGACUGUUCUUUCCCCAUUGAA